rnacentral:lncRNA from 10 species
GUGGGUGAGUGAGUCCGGAGUACAGACUCUGUCAGAGAGGUCAAAGCCUGGGGCUUUUCAGAAAAGGGAGGAUUAUAAGUUUUCUAAUUAUGUAAGUCAAAAGUAGAAAAAGGGACACAAACUAAGAAGGGUGCUGAGCGCUCGUCACCUGGAGGGACUUGUGCCUCUCUCAGUGGUAGUAGAGGGGCUACUUCUUCCUGCCACGGUCAUGAUUGAGAGGCAAUGGGUGGCGAGCCUACAGGGGACGUCGUCGAGGAGACAUGGGAUAACUUUAAGGGAGAAGGGUUUAAGGAGUGAGAGCAGAGCCAAGUCCUGGAGACGCUGAACUUGCUGUCGCACCGGAAAACGAGAUGUGCGGGGUAGGGGGCAGGGA